GCUCCCUUAGCUCAGUCUGGUCAGAGCGCCCGGCCUACACCCGGGAGGUCGCCCGUUCAAAUCGAGGCAGGGAGUACCA
rnacentral:tRNA from 1 species